rnacentral:rRNA from 1 species
UCGGGAAUUUUGGGCAAUGGGCGAAAGCCUGACCCAGCAACGCCGCGUGAAGGAUGAAGUAUUUCGGUAUGUAAACUUCGAAAGAAUAGGAAGAAUAAAUGACGGUACUAUUUAUAAGGUCCGGCUAACUACGUGCCAGCAGCCGCGGUAAUACGUAGGGACCAAGCGUUGUUCGGAUUUACUGGGCGUAAAGGGCGCGUAGGCGGCAAUUCAAGUCAUCUGUGAAAUCUCCGGGUUUAACUCGGAACGGUCAGAUGAUACUGCUUUGCUAGAGUGCAGAAGGGGCAAUCGGAAUUCUUGGUGUAGCGGUGAAAUGCGUAGAUAUCAAGAGGAACACCUGAGGUGAAGACGGGUUGCUGGGCUGACACUGACGCUGAGGUGCGAAAGCGUGGGGAGCAAACAGGAUUAGAUACCCACGUAGUCCCUGAGCGGGCUGGCAAGGCGCAU